rnacentral:rRNA from 1 species
UUAAAUCAGUUAUCGUUUAUUUGAUAGUACCCUCCUACUUGGAUAACCGUGGUAAUUCUAGGGCUAAUACAUGCUAAAAAUCCCGACUUCGGAAGGGAUGCAUUUAUCAGACACAGAACCAAUGCCCUCCGGGGCUUUCUGGUGAAUCAUGAUAACUCCGCGGAUCGCACGGCCUUGCGCCGGCGAUGGUUCAUUCAAAUUUCUGCCCUAUCAACUUUCGACGGCUGGGUAUUGGCCAGCCGUGGUGACAACGGGUAACGGAGGGUUAGGGCUCGACCCCGGAGAAGGAGCCUGAGAGACGGCUACUACAUCCAAGGAAGGCAGCAGGCGCGCAAAUUACCCAAUCCCGACUCGGGGAGGUAGUGACAAUAAAUACUGAUCCAGGGCUCUUUUGGGUCUUGGAAUUGGAAUGAGUACAAUUUAAAUCCCUUAACGAGGAACAAUUGGAGGGCAAGUCUGGUGCCAGCAGCCGCGGUAAUUCCAGCUCCAAUAGCGUAUAUUAAAGUUGUUGAGGUUAAAAAGCUCGUAGUUGAACCUUGGGCCUGGCUGGCUGGUCCGCCUCACCGCGUGUACUGGUCCGGCCGGGCCUUUCCCUCUGGGGAACCGCAUGCCCUUCACUGGGUGUGCUGGGGAACCAGGACCUUUACCGUGAAAAAAUCAGAUCGCUCAAAGAAGGCUCUCGCUCGAAUGCAUUAGCAUGGAAUAAUAAAAUAGGACGUGCGGUUCUAUUUUGUUGGUUUCUAGGACCGCCGUAAUGAUUAAUAGGGACAGUCGGGGGCAUCUGUAUUCAAUCGUCAGAGGUGAAAUUCUUGGAUCGAUUGAAGACAAACUACUGCGAAAGCAUUUGCCAAGGAUGUUUUCAUUAAUCAGGAACGAAAGUUAGGGG